rnacentral:rRNA from 1 species
AUUGAACGCUGGCGGCGUGCCUAACACAUGCAAGUCGAGCGGUAACAGGCGUAGCAAUACGUGCUGACGAGCGGCGAACGGGUGAGUAAUGCUUUGGAAUCUUCCCAGUAGUGGGGAAUAACCAGGUCGAAAGAUUGGCUAAUACCGCAUACGUCCGAGAGGGGAAAGCGGGGGACCGUAAGGCCUCGCGCUAUUGGAUGAGCCAAAGUCGGAUUAGCUUGUUGGUGAGGUAAUGGCUCACCAAGGCGACAAUCCGUAGCUGGUCUGAGAGGACGACCAGCCACACCGGAACUGAGACACGGUCCGGACUCCUACGGGAGGCAGCAGUGGGGAAUAUUGGACAAUGGGGGAAACCCUGAUCCAGCGACGCCGCGUGUGUGAAGAAGGCCCUGCGGGUUGUAAAGCACUUUUAGUGGGGACAAAAGCCAGGGGCUAACGACCAUCUGGUCUUGAUUUAACCCACAGAAAAGCACCGGCUAACUCUGUG